UGUUGGGAGAGCGAAAAAUUCUAGAAUGCAACGGCGUAUAUUGGUGAUGUAGCGUACUAACCAAUCAAAAAUCUCCUUUUAAAGAUAUAUGUCCCAUUAUGAUUAUAAAAUAAAUAAAAGAAGAAAGGUGAUUAGUUUGUUAUUGAUGAUGUGGUGUAAGUGUGAUAGUGUAGAAUUUCUCCGAAAGAACAGUGGAGGAUGG
rnacentral:lncRNA from 1 species